rnacentral:rRNA from 1 species
AAGUCGUACAGGUCUCCGUAGGUGAACCUGCGGAGGGAUCAUUACAAGAACGCCCGGGCUUCGGCCUGGUUAUUCAUAACCCUUUGUUGUCCGACUCUGUUGCCUCCGGGGCGACCCUGCCUUCGGGCGGGGGCUCCGGGUGGACACUUCAAACUCUUGCGUAACUUUGCAGUCUGAGUAAACUUAAUUAAUAAAUUAAAACUUUUAACAACGGAUCUCUUGGUUCUGGCAUCGAUGAAGAACGCAGCGAAAUGCGAUAAGUAAUGUGAAUUGCAGAAUUCAGUGAAUCAUCGAAUCUUUGAACGCACAUUGCGCCCCCUGGUAUUCCGGGGGGCAUGCCUGUUCGAGCGUCAUUUCACCACUCAAGCCUCGCUUGGUAUUGGGCAACGCGGUCCGCCGCGUGCCUCAAAUCGUCCGGCUGGGUCUUCUGUCCCCUAAGCGUUGUGGAAACUAUUCGCUAAAGGGUGUUCGGGAGGCUACGCCGUAAAACAACCCCAUUUCUAAGGUUGACCUCGGAUCAGGUAGGGAUACCCGCUGAACUUAAGCAUAUCA